rnacentral:SRP_RNA from 2 species
CCGUGCUAGGUGGGAAGGUAGCGGUGUCCUGUAACUCGCAAUCCGCUCUAGCGAGACUGAAUUCCUUUUUCGAGGCUGUCCGUAUUGUUUGGUCUGCCUUCUGCACGUAGUGUUGACGAUUGGGUCCUGCGCAAUGGAUACCCAUGAACCAUGUCAGGUCCGGAAGGAAGCAGCAUUAAGUGGUCAUAUCCAUGUGCCGCGGGGUUGCCUAAUCUGAGCUAACGACAGGAGUAACGCUUAUGUGCGGCUGUCAAGGAAAGGUGCACGG